UCUAAUUAGAUUUAUUGAAAAUUCUAUAGGUUUAAUUGAUAUACUAGCAUAUGAAUUAACCUAAGUAUCCAAUCAGAUUUAGUCUAAAGUUGUUUGAGCUAAUCCUAACCCUAAUGCCUUGACCUAAUCAGAUUAUAUUCAAACCUAUUGGUUUUCUAGGUGGCUUAACCUAUUAACAUGAAAGUGUUUCAUGUUAAUCCAAACUCUCCCAUGCCAAAAGUCACGCCAUUUAUAAAUCACUCGCCCC
rnacentral:lncRNA from 1 species